rnacentral:rRNA from 1 species
UACGUAGGGUGCAAGCGUUGUCCGGAAUUAUUGGGCGUAAAGGGCUCGUAGGCGGUCUGUUGCGUCGGUAGUGAAAACUCAGGGCUUAACCCUGAGCCUGCUUCCGAUACGGGCAGACUAGAGGUAUGCAGGGGAGAACGGAAUUCCUGGUGUAGCGGUGAAAUGCGCAGAUAUCAGGAGGAACACCGAUGGCGAAGGCAGGUCUCUGGGCAUUAACUGACGCUGAGGAGCGAAAGCAUGGGGAGCGAACAGG